rnacentral:rRNA from 1 species
AGCGUAGACGGUGUGGCAAGUCUGAUGUGAAAGGCAUGGGCCCAACCUGUGGACUGCAUUGGAAACUGUCAUACUUGAGUGCCGGAGGGGUAAGCGGAAUUCCUAGUGUAGCGGUGAAAUGCGUAGAUAUUUGUAGGAAUGCCGAUGGGGAAGCCAGCCCACUGGACAGAUACUGACGCUAAAGCGCGAAAGCGUGGGUAGCAAACA